UACGUAGGGGGCAAGCGUUGUCCGGAUUUAUUGGGCGUAAAGAGCGUGUAGGCGGCCACACAGGUCCGCUGUGAAAACUCGAGGCUCAACCUCGAGCUGUCGGUGGAAACCGUGUGGCUAGAGUCCGGAAGAGGAGAGUGGAAUUCCCGGUGUAGCGGUGAAAUGCGCAGAUAUCAGGAGGAACACCGGUGGCGAAGGCGGUUCUCUGGGCCUGUACUGACGCUGAGGAGCGAAAGCGUGGGGAGCGAACAGG
rnacentral:rRNA from 1 species